AGCAGUAGCCGCGGGAAUACGUAGGUGGCAAGCGUUGUCCGGAAUUAUUGGGCGUAAAGGGCUCGCAGGCGGUUUCUUAAGUCUGAUGUGAAAGCCCCCGGCUCAACCGGGGAGGGUCAUUGGAAACUGGGAAACUUGAGUGCAGAAGAGGAGAGUGGAAUUCCACGUGUAGCGGUGAAAUGCGUAGAGAUGUGGAGGAACACCAGUGGCGAAGACGACUCUCUGGUCUGUAACUGACGCUGAGGAGCGAAAGCGUGGGGAGCGAACAGGAUUAGAUACCCCUGUAGUCCCUGUCUCUUAUAU
rnacentral:rRNA from 1 species